GCUAUUGAGUAAAAUGGAAGAAGUAGAUAACGAGAAAUUGCUACUAAGAGAGGAACCUUCCAGCAGGAAUACUAGAGGACAUAGUAAAAAGUUGAGGAAGGGAAGUUGCUCAAGAGACAUAAAGAAAUAUAGCUUCCCACAAAGAAAUAUAGAGGUUUGGAACAGAUUAAGUGAAGAAAUAGUAUCGGCGAAGAGUGUGCAAAGUUUCAAGGAAAAGUUGGAUAAUUAUAGAUACGGAGACGGGACCACACGAGCGUAAGCCCAGGCCCUGUAAAAUUACAACUAGGUAAAUACAACUAGGUAAAUACACACACACACACACACACACACACACACACACACACACACACACACACACACACACACACACACACACACACACACACAUAUC